GGCGGCUUCCGAGCGUGGUGGCUACCGGAAUUCCCCUGUGUGCAGCGGUCGGUGGGUGUGUCGACAGUGCCGAGGGAUAGGGUUGAAAAUAGAGCGGCGACGCUCUUCUUCUUUCCGGCAGCGGGAGUCACUCGUGGCCCGUCGACACGCUCCGGUGUCCGUGGUCGAGGUACCGCGUAAAGUUCGUGCGCCAACUGGAAUCCGGGGAUCCGGCGAUGCUCGGCCAUACACCGGUGGCGGUGGCCGCAGGUGGUGGUGGCGUCGAGUGCCGGCUCGGACGGUGUAAAACGGAAGAGCCGCGACGACGGCAGCAACGGCGGACGGGCGAGGAAGACGAACAGUACCCUGUCGUUCUGUUUUUUUUUUAAUAAAGAACGGAGCUAUCUGUUGGAGAGGGUGGUGCCUGCUCCGAUUGUUGGUGGAGGGGAGUCGACGUAGGCCCUGUUUUGCCUUGUUUCCGACUGCUGGAACCAGAGAUUCACGCUUUGGCAGAGCAAGGCGUACGGCUCUGAUACCAAGUUGAUGACGAACCAGGAGGUGGAACGGUUGCAGUGCUGAUAAGUUGAUUUCUGAAAUAGUGAACAGAGAAUAGGGAGGAAGAACAAGAGGAGAGGAAGGGAGGGAAACGGCAGCGAAAAGGAAGAGAAGAGGAGAGGAAGAACGAGAAGGGGAAAGAAAGAAGUGGAAAACGUGGGAAAGAAAAUGCUUAAUUCUUCAUCAACCCUAAUCAACAUAAAAGUCCCCUAUAAAAAGGGCCCAAAUAAGAACAAUUAAAAUAAAACCCCCUUACACAAAAUAAUUCCCAAUAAACCCAAAAUACACAAAUGAACCCUAAAAUGCAAAUAAACCCAGAAAUAAAAUAAUAAAAUAAACAUGCAAAUAAAAUGGUGGCCUAGCUGAUGUCCCC
rnacentral:lncRNA from 1 species